UGGGGAAUAUUGCACAAUGGGCGAAAGCCUGAUGCAGCAACGCCGCGUGAGGGAUGACGGCCUUCGGUUGUAACCUCUUUAGCAGGAAGAAGCGAAAGUGACGGUACCUGCAGAAAAGCGCCGGCUAACUACGUACCAG
rnacentral:rRNA from 1 species